GGGGGGGGCGGACAUUUAUGAAGAUACAAAGGAGGCUACGUGCGGCCUGGGCCUGUUCUGGGUCUGGGCCUGUUUGUUUGUUUUUUUCUGUUUUUUUUUUCGCGGGCUUUUGAUUCUGGGCUAGGUUGGGUAUUGGAAGAGGAAGAGACAAAAUUGUUUGGGCCGGUUAUGGGGAGUCCAAGAGCUCAGUUACAUGUGCUCCCAUCUUUUUCAUUCUUCUCCCAAUCCGAAGAGACGCAAACAUUUUUGUCUUCUCUCGCCUUCCCUGGUGUUCUUCUCCCUCGCGCUGGUUGGCGACGCUUCUCCCACCGAAGAUGGACAACUUUUGUUCAGUAUGCCUCAACGCAGACGGGCCUUGUCGACAUUCAGAUAGGAGAGCAAGAGAUUUCAAAAUAUGUCUGCUUCCCGAGUUUGAAGAUUUUGUUGCAGUACCCUGCUAUUUUAAGGAGACGCUAAAAUCAUAUGCUAGGAACUUCCUGAUCAUAAGGAACGACGCAGGGUUCGAAUUUGAUCUAUACAUCAACGAAUUUGAGGGCCGCACUUUGCUAGGUGGUGCCUACUGGAGGGAUUUCGCAAACACCAUGAAUCUGUGCGCUGGAGAUUCAGUCCAUUUUAGUGCUGUAGGUUAUGGUUGCCUUUUUAAUGCCAAGGUUUACGACGAAAAUAAUGAUACGAAGGUCUUGGCAUGAGCACGAGCUGUUCGCCAAGUCAGUUCUAAUAGAUGUGACAGAGUACACAAAACUGUGUUUACAGACAUGUACGCUCUAUCAAACAAUGACAUGGACAUGUUAGUCAAGUAUUUCAACACCAGGCAAGCACUGAAAAAGAGGGAGCAAUAUGUUGCACCCAAGAUGACCGACGCAGACAUUGCUAUGUGGUUUUUUUUCCAUGUGUUUUUUUUGUGUGUGUUGUAAACUCCCCACACGAACUAUCAUCCAGGGUAUCCCUGCUGAUGUCACAUUCUGGCUAGAAAUCCCAAGAGAAGGAAAAGUUUUAUUCUACAACAACACCAUAGGAGAAAGACACAACAGUUUCAUAAGUGGAAGCGCAAUGGACACCAUUAUCACCCAUGGAUGGAACAGCGUAAGUAGAGUGCUUGGUAUCACCAGUGGGAGCACGAUCUUACUAAAGUUGAAGAUGAAGAAUGGGGUUUUAAGGAUCAGGGUCAAAGUUAUUGCUUUCUGAAAAAAA